AACGAACGCUGGCGGCAUGCCUAACACAUGCAAGUCGAACGAGACCUUCGGGUCUAGUGGCGCACGGGUGCGUAACGCGUGGGAACCUGCCCUUAGGUUCGGAAUAACUCCCCGAAAGGGGUGCUAAUACCGGAUAAUGUCUUCGGACCAAAGAUUUAUCGCCUUUGGAUGGGCCCGCGUUGGAUUAGUUAGUUGGUAGGGUAAAAGCCUACCAAGGCGACGAUCCAUAGCUGGUCUGAGAGGAUGAUCAGCCACACUGGGACUGAGACACGGCCCAGACUCCUACGGGAGGGAGCAGUGGGGAAUAUUGGACAAUGGGCGAAAGCCUGAUCCAGCAAUGCCGAGUGAGUGAUGAAGGCCUUAGGGUUGUAAAGCUCUUUUACACGGGAUGAUAAUGACAGAACCGGGAGAAUAAGCUCCGGCUAACUCCGU
rnacentral:rRNA from 1 species